GAGCCCCCGCACUUGAAGCACAUGGUCUCUCCCACAGACAGAUAGAUAAUAAACCGCCGCCCCUCGAGCGUGAGGCUCAGGGAGCGAGGCAGCGACUGGGGGCCCUCCUUGAGGAGCAUGAAGACCUGCCUCCGAAAGGACAGGACGUGCUUGCCCUGAGGGUUCUUGUUUCCCAUCGGCAGGCGGCGAAAAGGACUCACAGGAACCCCAUAGGCCUCGAGUCCCCUGGCCAGCUCCCGAUCAGAAACGUGAGGUUGCAUUUAAGGCUACAGCUGAGAAAGUUUUAAGAACAAGAUUAAGUGGCACAAAUCAGCAUAACUACAUUGACUGGAGUUAAGAUAACCUGUACCAGCUGAAAGUGGGGAUCUCUACAUGAAUUCUGCUAACUGUAGGCAGUUGAAGAAAGAAUAGCUUGAUUGGUGGAACAUCAAAACCAUUAGAAAGGAGAGAGGAUCGAGGAUCAUCAACACCUGUGGAAUGAAGAAUUCAGAAGUAGGUUUCAGAACAGCAGGAUUUGGACCAUCAGGAGAAGAGAAAUGACUUGAAGUAGGCAAAGCAAGAGGAGGCAAAGCUGUUUCAUCUUUCACCUUUCGUAGCACCAUAACAUUGAAGCCAUGCUACCAAACACUUCCUUAAAUAUUAGUUACUCAGUGGCCGCAUUGCACAAGAUGCUACUGGGCAGUCAUUACUGUGUAUUUAUUUAGUAUUUGUAUAACCUGAGUUUAUGUUCAGUAGUGCCUGCAAAUGCCUUUUUGUGAUACUGCUGCUCAGUAGCCUAAUACUAUUGUGCAGUAGCAUCGCAUCACAGUUUUUGCUACUCAAUGCCGCUCCACAAUAGUAUCGGGCUACAGUGCAGUCAGCGUCUCGUGUAGAUGUAGCCAGUGUCAAACAAGCAAAAUGGAUCUAUCCAAAUUACACCUACAACAUCAGGUUAGCCAAUCUUAAAUCUUUGCAUGAAAAUGAUGGCCCAUUAUUUGCUCAAAUUAACAUGGCUCUGUUAACUCUAACAGAGCUAUACUAGUUUGUGCCAGCUGAAGUUCUGGUCCCACCUUUUGAAUCUCUUCUAAUUCCAACAUUUGUAUUCCUUGUCUAGUAUAGGACAAAAUAAGAUACAUGGACAAAAUAUGAGUUCAGCAUUAAUACAUGAAAGUGGGAUUGUUUAUGAUUAAACCUUAACUUUAUAACAUUAGCAAUAGAUGCUAAUGAGGAAUUUUAUUUAUUCACUGAGGGGAACAUACUGUAUUUCUUUAUAGCAUCACAUUCCCCAAACUGUAAUAUAGUUGUUGUGUCUUGCCUUGCUUAGCAUACCUAUGCAAUUUGGACUGUACAAAUAUAAUAUUUUUAUUAGAAGAUAUAUUCAAUUUCAGCAAGAUAGGAUGUUUACAGAUAAUUCUCUAAGGCUAAGCCAUGUACUGACCUACAUCUUAUUACCACUAAUCAAGAUGCUUCCUCACUUUCUUUGAUAAGCUGGUACACUGAACUCUUGUAGCAUCAUAUCAUAAAUGUUGUUUUCUAGCCCCUGGAUAUUUUUUGUGUCUUUCUUUGAACCUUCAUGUCCUCCUUGAAGUGUGGAUACCAGUGUUGCAUUCAAGCAUUACAUUUCUACUGGGAGAAUUGCAGGUCUCCUGGUACAAAUCCUAAGUGGACAAGUAUUC